rnacentral:rRNA from 1 species
UGGGGAAUUUUGGACAAUGGGCGCAAGCCUGAUCCAGCCAUGCCGCGUGCAGGAAGAAGGCCUUCGGGUUGUAAACUGCUUUUGUCAGGGAAGAAAUCCUUUGGGUUAAUACCUCGAAGGGAUGACGGUACCUGAAGAAUAAGCACCGGCUAACUACGUGCCAGCAGCCGCGGUAAUACGUAGGGUGCGAGCGUUAAUCGGAAUUACUGGGCGUAAAGCGUGCGCAGGCGGCUUUGCAAGACAGAUGUGAAAGUCCCCGGGCUCAACCUGGGAACUGCAUUUGGUGACUGCAAGGCUAGAGUGCGGCAGAGGGAGAUGGAAUUCCGCGUGUAGCAGUGAAAUGCGUAGAUAUGCGGAGGAACACCGAUGGCGAAGGCAAUCUCCUGGGCCUGCACUGACGCUCAUGCACGAAAGCGUGGGAGCAAACNGAUUAGUNCCCUGGUAGUCCACGCCAUAAACCGAUGUCAACUGGUUGUGGACGGCUUGCNG